rnacentral:lncRNA from 1 species
GUAAAUUCAUCUUGUUGGGCAGUGAAUAUAUGCUGCACCAUUCCCUGAUUAAUUCAGGACUUGAACACUAUUUACUCCAAAACACAAGGUUUCUGCUGGGAUAUGUUGGCUAAUAAAGGGGUGGAAUAUGAGGAAACAAUGAACAGCCUGAAAUGAUGGACUAAGUUCAAUACCAGAGCAUCCCAAGACCUGCAGCAGCAGUUCAGCUUCAGGCCUUGCUACAUUGUCCCUGAGGCAGCAGAAUGUGGCCCCAUGGUCUCUUGGAGGCUACUGAAGGCUGUUGACACCACUGAAAUGCUGCUGUGGGCUGGAGGAGAGUGCUAGGGAGAGGAGAUCAGCAGAGUUAAGCCAACAGUCUGGCCCGUGCUGAGGAAACUGAAG